rnacentral:rRNA from 1 species
GCUUAGAAGCAGCCACCCUUGAAAGAGUGCGUAAUAGCUCACUGGUCAAGUGAUUCCGCGCCGACAAUGUAACGGGGCUCAAGCACGCCGCCGAAGCCGCGGCAGUCCUCCCUUGCGGGGGGCUGGGUAGGAGAGCGUCAUGCAGCGGGUGAAGCAGCGGAGUGAUCCAGCUGUGGAGGCUGCUUGAGUGAGAAUGCAGGCAUGAGUAGCGAAAGACGAGUGAGAAGCUCGUCCGCCGAUUGACCAAGGGUUCCUGGGGCAGGCUAAUCCGCCCAGGGUAAGUCGGGACCUAAGGCGAGGCCGACAGGCGUAGUCGAUGGACAACGGGUUGAUAUUCCCGUACCCGCAUGAACGCGCCCAUGGCGAACCCGGUGAAGCUAACCGCCCGAACUGGCCGAACCCUUCGGGGAACGGCCGGGGAGCGCGGGACCCGAACCGGUACUAGCCAAGCGAUGGGGUGACGCAGGAGGGUAGCCCGGCCGGCGAAUGGUAGUGCCGGUGUAAAGGUGUAGCCAGCUGCGAUAGGCAAAUCCGUCGUAGCGUUACGGUGAGACCUGAAGCGACCCCGAAUGAGGGGAAUACAGGGUAAUCCCAAGCUGCCAAGAAAAGCCUCUAGCGAGCUUUCAUGCGGCCCGUACCCCAAACCGACACAGGUGGUCAGGUAGAGAAUACCAAGGCGAUCGAGAGAACUGUGGUUAAGGAACUCGGCAAAAUGCCCCCGUAACUUCGGGAGAAGGGGGGCCAGGUCGUGUGAAGUCCCUUGCGGACUAGCGCGGUCCGGCCGCAGAGACCAGGGAGAAGCGACUGUUUACUAAAAACACAGGUCCGUGCGAAGUCGCAAGACGAUGUAUACGGACUGACGCCUGCCCGGUGCUGGAACGUUAAGGGGACGGGUUAGCCUUUCGGGGCGAAGCUCAGAACUUAAGCGCCAGUAAACGGCGGUGGUAACUAUAACCAUCCUAAGGUAGCGAAAUUCCUUGUCGGGUAAGUUCCGACCUGCACGAAUGGCGUAACGACUUCCCCGCUGUCUCAACCACGGGCCCGGCGAAAUUGCACUACGAGUAAAGAUGCUCGUUACGCGCAGCAGGACGGAAAGACCCCGGGACCUUUACUGCAGCUUGGCAUUGGUGCUUGGGACGGCUUGUGUAGGAUAGGCGGGAGACUGGGAAAGCGUGACGCUAGUCACGUGGGAGUCAAUGGUGAAAUACCGCUCUGGUCGUUUUGAGUGUCUAACCUGGGCCCGUGAUCCGGGUCAGGGACAGUGCCUGGCGGGUAGUUUAACUGGGGCGGUUGCCUCCUAAAAGGUAACGGAGGCGCCCAAAGGU